rnacentral:lncRNA from 1 species
UUUCUCCAUCCUAGUAAUCAAAUUUGAGCAAAAUCAAAUGGGGCUUUCUAUGAAAGUACCUUUUGUUGAUCUGAACGAGCUGGUAAUUUACAAAAUACCCUUCCUUUGUGAGGAAGGCUAAAGAAAAAAAGAAUCAGUAGCUUUUAAAGCUGGGCCUUAGUGGGACUCUAAAUGCAAUGAAAGCAGUCUGUGUUGAGAGACUGAAAUGCAUUUCAAAGCCAGGCCUGAUUCGGGGUACAAGGAAGAACAGACCUAUGUGCAUUUUGUAGGAAGAAAACUGUGAAUGGAAAAAGGAGAAGGGGAGAGAAACGGGGGAAAUCUGGAUAAUACAUUAAAGUAACCAUAAUUUUGGAGAUGCAUUCAUCUUAUUGAAAAUAUAUUUCCUCAUGGUUGUGAUUCCUCUUCACUCUUUUGAAUUUGGAAGGAUGGCAUACACAUCUGAAAAAUACCACUACUUCCUUCAUUGGACUGCAAGGUAUUUCUGUUUGGAAAAGUAAUGGAGUCCAGUCAACUUCAUUGAUCGCCAAGGACUGUCAAAAUUAUAAAACUUGCUGUGGAGCUCUGACAUGCCAGAAGCCGCUAGAAAAAGAAGUUUGACAUUCAGAAACUUAUCAAGAGGUUCUACUCUUUGGAUAGAGACCAAAAUCAUACUUUGAAAAAGCCUGACAGGUUUCUUCGGAAAAGUGGCCAUCCAUGGAAUGAAUGAAAUGUUCUCUUUCUAUUCCAGGGAUUGCAGUGGCAAAGCUAGGCUAGGUCUUGGAGGCUGGUGUAAGGCGAUGUGGGUGAAGGCAGGAGGCUGAUGGAAAGACUGGGGGGAAGAAAAGCCGAAAUGGAUUCACGGUGCCUUGGAUGAAGGACGAGAGGGGAACUGCAAGCUCCUUCAACUGGUUCUGUCCGGUGAGAAGUGAUCAAGCUUGGGCUGACAAGAGGCUCAGGGAGCCCUCACGUUCUUUCGCUUUUUUACCUGCCAAUCAAACUGCUACAAGACAACACCCUGAUCUGGCAUGGACAUCGCGGGUCCAAGCCUGUAGCCCCAAAUCGGAUAAUCUCUGCAGCUGAUAACAAGCAAAAGAGAAGCCAGGCAACAGCCAUAUUAAAGAAGAAAACAAUCAACUCUGAGAUCCAACUUAGAAAUAAUGUUUCAUUCAAGAUAAGGCUCGUGGCUUAGGAGAUUGUGACCUGGCUUGCAUCAUUCUAAGACUUCUAUCGUCUGUUUUCAAAACCCAAGGAGGACCUCCUUUUCUGUGUGAUAGUUCCUCAUGCUUUGCCAGCCACUGGGUCUUUAAGGAAGCUUGCCAAGAGUUCCCGGCUGGGAAGGACAGUUCGAGUUCAUCAUAGACAAUGAGCUGGCACCACAGUUUAAGUGACUCACCAACCUGGUUGCCCACUUCAAAAUGUCAAGAACCACACUAUCUAAUUGAAAGAACUGUGUUUUAGCAAAGUGUAAUUGGAUCGCCUGGCAAGAUCAUCUCAAACUAUGUCUCUGACCUUGCCUUUCAGUGGCUAUUUUGAGCACAAGAGGAGAAAGGAAAUGAUUCCUGAAUUAUAUCUUGUUUUUAAAAAUUAAGAUUAAUUAAUACUUGGUUUUAUGUUCAUUCCAUUGUAGGAACUUAGUGAUUAUUACAAAACAGUCAAAAUAGGUCAUAGCAAAAUGAACGUUUAAGAUUAGGUUAAAACAUUCCUCUGAAAUUUUAGUAUUCACUUUUGAAGUGUCAAUUACUAUAUUUCUGUAAUUUCUCAUUUUUUUCUUGGCUUAGAGUCAAGAUGAAAAAUGAUAUUUGAAUCAAAGACAUUGUUUUGUUAUAUAGCCACUCCUUUCUAAAAUGCAAAUCCACCCUCCCCUCACCAAUGCUUUAUUCUUUGUGCGCGCACACACACACACACACACACACACACACACACACACACACAGACAUACACAGAACCAGCACCCAAAUGGUAGAGGAGGUCCUUCCAAGACUUCUAGGACCUGGAUCAUGUAAGCAGUAGAUGAGAAAAUGAAGUAAGAGAUAUAGAGUAAUAACAAUAAAAGUCAAUGAUUUCAUUUUACAAAAAAGUCAUUGUGUAGUACUCAGAUAUUUUUAAGAGCAAGUAUUAUUAUGACUAAAGUAUAUUAUACUUCUAAAUUAUUAUGAUUCUCAUCUAAUUUCAAGCCACACAUAGGCGCCAUUUGAAAGCAUUUUGUGUUACAACCUAUCAACAAAAAUCAACUAAUAGUUUUAUAACGUGCAUAGGUUUACCCCAUGGGGAAUUAAAAUUUUUAUCUGCAAGUAUUUCUGUUGUUGUGAGACUUUAGGACAAGACAACAUUUGGUGUUAACAUAGAAGAAUAUUCUAUGGCUUUUUUAGCUUUAAAGUUCAUUACUCUAAAAUAAAGUACACGUGGUAUUUUUUUCUUCCUAGUGUUCUCUUAUUAUAUGUAGAGUAUUUUCGGUUGUUGUUUUUAACGUAUACAUUAUUUUUAUUAAGUCAUUUCAUAAAAGAUAAGAUAUAUACUAAUAGACCCUUGGUUUUCUCCUAAUUUAAUUAUUUCAAGUCAAGCAAAAUUGGGCAAUUUUCUUUCAGGAAAAAAAAAAUAUUGAGCAUGAUUUUGAGGUAAAACUGAUUAUUUACAGCAUCUUUUCUCUAAUAGGCUAACAUUUAUGAUGGAUCUUAUUUCAAAGUUGAUUAUUCUCAAAGAAAAGUGGAGAUAUUAGAAUUUCCGAGUAAAUUGCAUUGUUUUAAAAAGUACUUUAAUGCAUUGUUCACAUUGUUGCCAGCUAUUGACCAAAAAAGAGAAGAAGAAAAAAGAAAUAAAAAAAGCAGUAUCUGCUCCAAACGUCAAGUUUUGCAGUUUGAAAGACUUGUACAUUAUAAUUGUUUUUUUCUUUUUUGGAAAGCAGUAGUAAUUAAUACCAAAGGCAUAGACAAUUUAGGGCCAUAACCUCCCUUCCCCCCUCUCCACCUUUUUUUUUUUUUUUUUUUUUUUUUAACUUUAACCAUGAUAGGCAUCUCUGCAAGGUAGGUUUUAACAUAUUUUUUUCCUAAUUUUUUUCCCUCCAUUCAGUAAGAAGGAUAAGCUUUUAGAGUACCCAGUCACCGUGGUAACUGCCAAAAAAAUUCUCCUGAAGUUUGAAGAGGUCAGCUAGCAGGGUCAACAACCCUGGCCUCUCUCUGAGCUCGGUCUAGCAUGCCCCAGCCUGCGGUUGGAGUGUCAGGCCAGAUCUGACCCUGGGAGGUGGACCAUUCUGGCUCUGAUAUAAAUUUUUCGAGUCAGUUCAUGGCCUGGACUCUCCAGGUGGCCUCCAAAAUCGAUUUUGACCCCCUGACCCUGUCUCACGGAGGCAUAGCAUCCACCCUAAGUAAGGAUUUAGCCAGGAAUGACAGCUUUCCACUGAGUGUUAUUGGGGACAGUAUAAACAGUUUGGAAAGCAAGUAAGGAGGUGUGAGGGCUAGCAAUCAUUAAAAGCACAUUAAAAAACAAUUUUUAAAAAUCUUUAUUAGAGAAAGUUGUAAAUGCAUAUCUGUUACAGAAUUCCUGUGAUUUGUAGAGUUUUCUAGUCAGUUUUGAAUAUAAAUAGGUCACAUAUCUUUAUCUUUUUGCAUACUUUGUUACAAAUAUGCAAAUAAGAUAGGCAUACUUGCUACAAAAUAGGUACAGCAGGAAUGUAAUAUGUUCAGAAAAGGCAAACUGGUUAUUAAAACACAUUAACAGGUAAGGAGUUUCUAAUAUUUUAAAUACUAAAAUUUUACAUGUGUAUUUUGAAGUUUUUAAAAUGGAAAAAUAAAGAACCUUUAAAAAACCCAACAGUGUGGAAUAAAGAUAAACUUGUUGCACUCAAGGUACAUUUCUACUUUGUAAAGCAAGAAGCCAAUACACUCAGUUGGAUAAAAAUGAGAGAAAAAUUGUAAAUAUAGAGAGUUACAGCUUAUAGAGCUGAAGAGGAAUAAAACAAAAAAAAGUGUCUCUGAAUAACUUUAUGUAUUUUCAACAGUUUAAGAUAUCAGAAACUUGGAAAAUAAAUAUGAUAUAUAUAUAAAUCAUCA